rnacentral:Y_RNA from 1 species
GGCUGGUCCGAUGGUAGUGGGUAUGAGAACUCACUAACAUUAGUGUCACUAAAGUCGGUGUUCAACCCCCACUGCUAAAUUUGGCUGGCUUUAA